rnacentral:rRNA from 1 species
UACAGAGGUCUCAAGCGUUGUUCGGAUUCAUUGGGCGUAAAGGGUGUGUAGGUGGCGCGCUAAGUCGGGUGUGAAAUUUCGGAGCUUAACUCCGAAACUGCAUUCGAUACUGGCGUGCUUGAGGACUGGAGAGGAGACUGGAAUUCAUGGUGUAGCAGUGAAAUGCGUAGAGAUCCGGAGGAACCCCAGAGGCGAAGGCGGCAUUCUGGCUCGCAACUGACGCUCAGACACGACAGCAUGGGGAGCGAACGGG